rnacentral:rRNA from 1 species
GAUGAACGCUAGCGGGAGGCUUAAUACAUGCAAGUCGAGGGGUAACAUGAGAGCUUGCUCUUGAUGACGACCGGCGCACGGGUGAGUAACGCGUACACAACCUACCUCUAAGUGGGGAAUAGCCUUUGGAAACGAAGAGUAAUACCCCAUAGCAUUAUUUCUUUUUAUGAUGAAAUAAUUAAAGCUCCGGCGCUUAGAGAUGGGUGUGCGUCCCAUUAGCUUGUUGGUAAGGUAACGGCUUACCAAGGCGACGAUGGGUAGGGGGCGUGAGAGCGUGACCCCCCACACGGGUACUGAGACACGGACCCGACUCCUACGGGAGGCAGCAGUAAGGAAUAUUGGACAAUGGGCGAAAGCCUGAUCCAGCCAUCCCGCGUGCAGGAUGACGGCCCUAUGGGUUGUAAACUGCUUUUAGUAUAGGAAGAAACCCCCACUUCGUGAGUGAGGCUGACGGUACUAUCAGAAUAAGCACCGGCUAACUCCGUGCCAGCA